GUCUAAUGCAGAAACGAAGGCGUCACAAAGAAGCUACUGGCCUUGCUUCCUGCUUCAGUGAGGAAAAUGAAGCAGCCUGAAGAGGACUUGGAAAGUCUCUCUUCGCUCACACCUAACAAAGUACCUAUAUCUACAUCCACAUACUCUGCUUUUCCAGAUAAUAAAGAGUAGAAGGAAACAGUUUCCAAAUACAUUUAGCUGUUUUAACAUUGAAAACAACCACUUAUUAUUGAAUUUUU